UCAUCUGUGAAGUGAGGAUAAUACUAGUACCUGGCUGGAGAGACUUGACCGUUAUAUGAGAUGAUGAACGGAGAAGUCCUAAACACCCGGCCUGACACCACACAUAGUGGGCCUCAGUAAGCAGUAGCUCUUCCAGCAGCUUUCCUCACAUUUUCAAAGAAGCCCACAACCCGAAGGGGUUAAAGGUUACUGCAGAUGUUACUGUUAUGCCCAUCCUGUGAACUGAGGAUCAGACGCGCAGCCUGUUGCCCGAGGAGAAGUAAUGAGAGAACGGGCUACACCGAGGAGCGCUGCGGAGGCAGAGAUGAAUUCCAACCAGGGGAGGAGGUUCGCCAUCUACGAGACAGGAACGCAUCUUCGCUUAAAGGGUCUAAGCAGCUCCUACCAGGACUGCACACACAGAGAACAGAAGAGACAGGUGGUUUGAAAGGCAUUCGUAUCCGUGAUAGCCAAAGAAAGCGUGACUUACUGCCAGUGCUACCGGGUCUUCAGGUUGCCCCAGAUACUCAGACCCUACCGACCCUAAGGAUCCAUCCAGGCCUCCACUGCUUCGUGACAGGUCUGCAAAUAGCUCUGGGAACACCAGCGUGCACUUGGGUUUUUCUCCUGGAUGAAAUAUGUGCUCACGGUUGUGUUAGCUGGAACCGGAUUUCCCCACAACAUGGUGAUGAAAGAGAAUAAACAGUAUUUUCAGU